ensembl:lncRNA
AGUGUCGCCGCACAUUCUGCAGGGACGCCAUGGGCCGGGAAGGGCCUCUGAGACUCCGUUCCCCGCGUCGCUGUCUGCUGUCUGCAGGCGCUGUGCUCACGUGUUCUUCAGUCCUGGCGUGAAGUCUCUCUUCUCAUUGAUUUUUUCCUUUCGCUUACUAUUUGGCUCUUUCUUAAUGACUGCUUUUGACUAAAAUAAGAGGUACAGCUUGAGAGUUGAGAAUUAAGUUGUAUUUGGGGCAGAAUGAGGGCUGCAGCCUGGAAGGCAGCACCUCAGAUACCUCUCGAGAGACUGAUCCAAAGCAGCAGUGGGCGAAGGCUAAUAUAGACGGUUUUGGUGAAGGGGGAGUUCAGCACCACGUGAACCAUGAAACGCUCCUCUUACAGAAGGCUUUCUGUGAGUCAUGAGGGUCUCAUGUCGCCAUGAAGGGAUUUAGUGCCUCUCUAGAUGUGAGGAGAUGCAAGGAUGGAGAUCAUAAAAUCUGUGCCUAAAAACAUCCAACUAUCCGAAGACCCAUCCCACCAGAUUCCCUGGAGCAGAGUGCCUCACUCCACCCUGAACGCCCUCGGGGAUGACUGAAGGUCAGCAGCUAUGGCAGCACAGGGCUCCGUCUCCGCAGAGGCAGGCGGCAAAGGCCUUGCUCUUCAGUCUUCCGCGGCGCUCUUGGUAAGUGCCAGCUUGUGGUCGACACUGUGUAUCAUCAAUUUUAUAUUAUUCUUUUUUUUCCUCAGAAAACUAGUGAUCACAUUAACUCCAAGGAUAGAGGAACAAAGCAAAACCCUUGCCUUUAAGGGAAGAGUGUCUUAGUGCGCCUGUGCGUGGCCUUUAAGGGAAGAGCGCCUUACUGCGUGUGCUUGGCCGUAAGCAGCCAGGCGGAAGGGCUCUCCUGGUGGUCAGUGGUCAGGAGCCCACCCGCCAGUGAAAGAGAUGCGGGGUGAUCCCCUGGAGAAGGAAAUGGCCACCCACUCUAGCAUUCUUGCCUGGGAAAUACUGUGGGCAGAGGAGCUUGGAGGGCUGUGGUCCAUGGGUCACUAAAGAGUCGGACAACAUUUAGCAGCUAAACAACAGCAAAGCAGAUACAAAUGUUAGAAGGGAGGCAGGAAGCGGGGAGAGGCAGAGCUGGGGCUGGAGGAGGCGAGGCAGGCCCACACUGAGGCACUUAGAGACACUGUCAACAGGCCCCUGGGGCUUCAGAAGACUGCAAGACAGAGGAGGUUGGAGAGAGAGCAGGGCAGGAAUCAGAUUCCAGAUGGUUCAGGGUGUGUGUAACACUGGUGAGAGCUCUGGCUCUUACCUCGAGUGUGAGGGGAACCACUGGCGUGCUGGGCAGGGAGGUGAUGCAUCCGGCCCGGCGUUUUACGAGGCUUCUGGGGCUGUGGGGG